rnacentral:snRNA from 1 species
AUACCUUUCUCAGCCUUUUGGCUAAGAUCAAGUGUAGUAUCUGUUCUUACCAGUUUAGUAACAAAACUAAUAAAGUCAAAAUCGGACUUCAUGUCGUAUGUAUAUAUUGCAUCAUUGCAUGACAUCUU